ensembl:lncRNA
GAAUUUUAAGUGAGAGUAUUUACAGAUACUUUCCUCACCUCUUCACAAGUAGCUUUCACAUGGAUUCAAUAGGAAAAUUGCAGAUGAGUUCACAAAAAAGCUACCUGAGAAUUAUUUGGACUUUCUAUUACCUUUGUUUGGAAACAGAGAGGAUUGUAUGUAAAUAAAUCCUGCUGCAUUUCAUGUCAGUGUGUGCUCAUUUUCUGAGCUUUCAUGAAUUUAAAAUAUGUGUUUAUGUUUUCAAACGGAACAAAGAACUUACUUACCUUUCUGAACAAGGAAUGUGCUCCCACAAGCCCCAGUCAUCUCAUGGCACUUCAGCCAGCCCAGGCUUUGAAUUUCUUCUCCAAGAAUGGGGAAUUGCUCAGUUUGAGGAGGUGUGUUUGGGAAAGGAUGUCAACAGGGCAAUUGAGCUGAGCACGUAGAGCACUGUAGUCCUAAAUCAGCAGCAUGUUUUUCCUUUGCUGGCUGACAUGUCUUGUUUUUGCAUUCUCGAGAGCUGCUGUAACAUACAGACUUUUAUCUAGGAUUGACAAGGAAAGGAAAUUUAACUGGAAAGGGCAACAAUAAACCAGUGAUUUUCCAAGUCACACGAAGGCUUCUUGGCAGCUUCAGGUAUCCUGGGGAUAUGCAAGAGCCCCAGGAAAAUGCCAUCCAGCCUCUGCCAUUCCUUUCUUCCUCCCCCCCAAACUCUCUUCCCUUUGGCAGUCCCACAAAGGGUUUAACAUUUACUUGGAGCCAACACAGGCAGGACACGAGCCAGCCCAAAGGCAAUGGCUUGGCACGGGGAGGAAAACACAGCUUGCAGAAUGUGCCCAUCUCCCCUGUUUCCUCCCCUGGCCUCUGCUGCCAUUCCAAGUCAGGUGGCUGCACCGGCACCUUCAGCAAACAUUGCCAGCUUCUUCACUCAAGGCACCCUACACCUUUCAAACCAGACCGAUGCCAUAGGGGUCCCACUGUUGCCCACCCCCUGGACAGACAUGAGGUGUGCAGGAGCUUGGGGAAGGGCUAUGGCUGGAGAGAUGGGGGCUCAGGGCUCGCUCACUGGAGGCUGAGCUGCAGUUAAGUCCUGGUAAUGCUGUGGAAAUGAAUAGAGCUUGAGUCGCGAAAGCGGGAGGCUGCUUCAGGCAGACCUGAAGCUACUGGAGGCUACUUCUCCCCCUGCUGGCCAAUUCCCAGGUCUGGAAAAAACACGGGUGAGCUGAAGCUGGAAGGGAAGGGGUGCAAGAUGUAAAGCGACUGCAUCCCACAGCAGGAGCACCUGGCACCUCAGUUCCUUCAGGCACCAUGACCUGUGUUUCGCGUUCUCUCCCCCCACAAAAAGGCAUCCAGGACCUCAGCAUGCAGUCCCUGCUCACACCACUAUAUCCCAUUUCCUGGGUCAUCUGCUCUUUCAAAACUCAACCAGUGCAACCAACUACAUUUAACAGGGUUCUUGGAGCACCUCAAGUGGUUUCACUCCUGUUUUGCUGGCACAUUUUCAUCCAAGUUGGUCACCUUUCACAGAGGAAGAGAGAGCCUUUGUGGAUGUGCUUAUGGUAUUUGUCUGUAACUGUAGCAGUUAAUGAGAAUUCAUCCCCGGCGCAAGUGCAUGACUAGAAGCUGCUGCCAUCUGAGAGCCCUGUGGUGGCCUGCAUGAAAUAAUGAAUGGAAUUACUCCAGCUAAUGGCAACUAUUUAGAAACCAAAAAACCACAGUUUUUGGCUGGGCAUGGACUGAAGAGGCUCCUACUGAUGCUAGCUAUUUUAAAAUGUCUCUGAAAAACAGGGAAGCUUGCAUGUAUUUGAGAUGCCCACAGGCUGGUUCAAUCCAUAGAAUAAAAGCAAAAGGAUGCAGCAUUCUUCAGUAAUCUCAUCUGAGAUGAGAGAUGCACUGUUGUAUUAUAAGUCAUAUACAAGAGAACAAAUCCAUUGGCCUUAACUAUCUCAAUGAACUCAUUAAGUACCUUUUGGUUUCUGAACACUGAAAUGCAUGAACAGCAGAGGGACUUUCUUUUAAAAUGUAGACAUUGUAAGGAUUCUUAAAAUAAUAAUAAACACUCCAUGUUUCAU